rnacentral:rRNA from 2 species
UACGGAGGGUGCAAGCGUUAUCCGGAUUCACUGGGUUUAAAGGGUGCGUAGGCGGGUAUGUAAGUCAGUGGUGAAAUCCUCGAGCUUAACUCGAGAACUGCCAUUGAUACUAUGUAUCUUGAAUGUCAUGGAGGUGAGCGGAAUAUGUCAUGUAGCGGUGAAAUGCUUAGAUAUGACAUAGAACACCGAUUGCGAAGGCAGCUCACUACACGAAUAUUGACGCUGAGGCACGAAAGCGUGGGGAUCAAACAGG